CCUACGGGUGGCUGCAGUGGGGAAUAUUGGACAAUGGGGGGAACCCUGAUCCAGCGACGCCGCGUGAGUGAAGAAGUAUUUCGGUAUGUAAAGCUCUAUCAGCAGGGAAGAAAAUGACGGUACCUGACUAAGAAGCCCCGGCUAACUACGUGCCAGCAGCCGCGGUAAUACGUAGGGGGCAAGCGUUAUCCGGAUUUACUGGGUGUAAAGGGAGCGUAGACGGCGAAGCAAGUCAGAUGUGAAAGGUCAGGGCGAAACCCGGGGACUGCAUUUGAAACUGUUGAACUGGAGUGCAGGAGAGGUAAGAGGAAGGCAGAGUGGAGAGGUGAAAUGCGGAGAUAGUAGGAGGAGAAGCAGGGGAGAAGGUGGAGUACUGGAAGGGAAAGGAUGUGGAGGCUAGAAAGCGUGGGGAGAAAACAGGAGGAGAGAACCGAGUAGUC
rnacentral:rRNA from 1 species